rnacentral:lncRNA from 1 species
AAAAAAGUGCUGUGUUAUUUUCAAUUUUUGAAAAUUAUUUUCCGUUGAAUAUUCAUGUUCGUGUUUGUUGUGACCGGCGAAAACGACGAAAUUUUGCUGGCACAAAAACAAUCUGAGCUUUUUUUUUUUUGCUGUGCAUGCAUCAAUAUACGGUAAAUAGUAAGAACUUACCAUUUUAACAUUCGCAUUAUUCUACAACGCACAAUGGUUGAAAUACCAACUUUGUAAUUCAAAC